rnacentral:misc_RNA from 1 species
AAGUCGUAACAAGGUAACCGUAGGUGAACCUGCGGUUGGAUCAUUAACAAAAAAACAAAUUGAAGAAAGGGCUUUCAAUAUCCUUCCUCCCUCCGGGGGGGAAGGUAUGGGAGUACCCUUUUUUUAAACCCCAAAACUUGUUGAACAACCUUUAAACAGAGUUUCUUUCUGACAAAGGGGGGAGCUCUGUAUUUUUAAACUAUAUAUUAAAAAAGUCUGUCAUGUUUUUUUAAAAAAUCUUUAAAAAAAAAACAACUUUUGGCAACGGAUCUCUAGGCUCUU